CUUAUACGUAACGAUAAUAAUGAAAUAUCUAUGAUUCAUACAUUACAAAAUAGAUUUUCCUCUUGAACGACAUCAGGGAACUAUAGAUUUUCCUUGCCUGGAAAAGCUUUCCGUUUAUGCAUGCCCCAAACUGGAGGGUGUGGUAGAGCUUGUGGUUCGUGAAUGUGACCAACUGGUGGUUUCAAUUGCCCACUAUAAAGAACUUUCCGUAUUAUGCAUCCGCUAUUGCAAAGGGGUUGUAUACAGAAGUGUGGUUGACUUUCAGUUAUUAGAUUUGGAGAUAACUGGCUGUGAGGAGCUGACAUGUUCAUUGCAGAAUGAGGAUGGAUUUCUGCAAAACCUUAUGUCACUUCGUCAUUUGAGUAUUGAAGGUAACUCACAUCUUGUUCAAUUGCAUCACCUCAGCUUACUACAAGAGCUUCACAUUGAUAAGUGGCCAAGCCUAGUUUCUUUUUCAUUGGCUAGUUUGCCACCUUCUCUUAAAGAUAUAAAGAUUCGAGGUUGCGAUUCUCUUACUUAUUUUGCAAGAUAUCAGAUACCGCCAAGUCUAAGGAGAAUAGAGAUAAAUAGAUGCCAAAAUUGGUGGAGGAUGAGGAGGCGAUAGGGGGUUCUUCAUCUUCUUCUCCUUGUUUGAUUCAGGAUGAGGAGUCCUCUCUCGAGUAUUUGAGCAUAUGGAACUGUCCAUCUUUGAUAUCUCUAUCAUCCAGAGUCAAGCUACCCAGGGCGCUUAAACACCUCCAGAUACAUACUUGCAGACAACUGGAGUCAAUAGCUGAUGCAUUACAUGAUAACAUUUCUCUCGAGUACAUUCACAUCUGGUAUUGCUCUAAUCUCCAAUAUUUACCAGAAGGUAUUUACUACCUCUCCAAUCUUCAGAAGUAGUUGAGUAUUUACGGUUGUAGAAGUCUUGUUUCCUUCCCGACAGGAGGGUUCCCAAGAAGUCCUUCCAACUUGAGAGAGUUUGAGAUCACCAGUUGUGAGAAAUUGGAGGCCUUACCCAAAGGCAUGCACAACCUCAACUCUCUUGAGAUAUUAAGGAUCCCCUAUUAUGAAGGUUUCACUUCCUUCCUAGAAGAAGGGUUGCCUCCUAACCUUCAGUCUCUUAAAGUUCUGAAUCUCAAGAGUUGUAAACCACUCUUCGAAUGCGGCUUGCACAGACUCACAUCUCUUAGAGAGUUGUGGAUCAAUGGUGAAGAUCCGGAACUGGUUUCCUUUCCACCCAAGAAAGAGAUGGUGCUUCCCAAAUCUCUCAUUAAGCUCAUAAUCGAAGACUUUCCGGAUCUCAAGUAUCUACCCAGCAAAGGGUUUCAGUCCCUCACAUCUCUUAAAAGACUAUAUCUGGAGUUGCCCCAAGCUACUGUCCAUUCCAGAUGAGGGCAGGCUUCUUUCACUGACACAACUUAGUAUCCGUCACUGUCCACUGCUAGAAGUGAGAUGCAAACCAGGUAAAGGUCAGUAUUGGCGCUCCAUAGCCCACAUUCCUUACAUAUGGUUGGGAGACAAGAGAAUUCAAGCUCUGUGAUUACAACUGAUACAAGAGAAAACAGUUGGAAUCUGAAAUUGUACUAUUCCCUUCCAGCAGACAUGUUUUCGGAGCUUGGUGCACUUCAUUGCCAUUGUAGCUGCAGAAAUCAAUAUUAAUCAGUAAAACCUUUUUACCUUCAUGAGUUCUGCAAACUAGGGCAGUGUUUUACAACGACAACAGCUUGGAGGUCAAUAUUUGAUUUGUUUCUACCCGAAUGUGGGUUAUAAAGGGUCAGGAUUCAGGAGACUCAGCAGUCGAUCAGGACUCAGACUCCAAAAGAAAAAAAACAGAAGAUAUGUAUAGGGCAAGUGAGGAUAAGUUCUUUCCUAUCUCUCAUUGUUGUUUGCAUUUUUGCUACAAAAUUAGAACUUUCUCCCGCAUCAUCUACUUAGAUCCAGAGUAUAGUGUUUCAACAGCGUAUGACUUG